rnacentral:rRNA from 1 species
GAUGAACGCUGGCGGCGUGCCUAAUACAUGCAAGUCGAGCGAACAGACGAGGAGCUUGCUCCUCUGACGUUAGCGGCGGACGGGUGAGUAACACGUGGAUAACCUACCUAUAAGACUGGGAUAACUUCGGGAAACCGGAGCUAAUACCGGAUAAUAUAUUGAACCGCAUGGUUCAAUAGUGAAAGACGGUUUUGCUGUCACUUAUAGAUGGAUCCGCGCCGCAUUAGCUAGUUGGUAAGGUAACGGCUUACCAAGGCAACGAUGCGUAGCCGACCUGAGAGGGUGAUCGGCCACACUGGAACUGAGACACGGUCCAGACUCCUACGGGAGGCAGCAGUAGGGAAUCUUCCGCAAUGGGCGAAAGCCUGACGGAGCAACGCCGCGUGAGUGAUCAAGGUCCUCGGAUCGUAAAACUCUGUUAUUAGGGAAGAACAAAUGUGUAAGUAACUAUGCACGUCUUGACGGUACCUAAUCAGAAAGCCACGGCUAACUACGUG